CCAGUGGCAGGCCCGAUGGAGGAAUGAGCGCUACUAUUCGCAGCAGGGUCUUGCCAAACUCCGAGGGCAGCAGAGGUGAGUGCGAGAACAAUUGUAUUGUGGUCGGUCAUCUUACACGUCCCGCUUGUGCUUUACAGCGGCACCCGAGGCGGCCAGAUUUCGGAUUACCGCGGCCGCGUCGUGCUUGACAGGGACGAGUGUGCGAGGCCCAUAGUUCGGGUGGUCUGAAUCGGUGAGCCCUGCUCCAGCUGCUACUGGUGUGGCUGAAGAGGAUGUGGCCCAGGAUCUUCCCCGUGCCCCAACUCGUAAGUUUCGCUGAUGUUUUUGAUUAACUGUAGAUGGUGUUACAUGCUCACAGGUGAUGCUCAUGCGUGCAGGCAUAUGUUUGUGAAGAGAUGACAUCUGUGGGCAUAAAGACAAAAGGCUGCACAAAAAAAAUUUGGCAAACGGUUGCAGGAGCUAGUUGUAUGCAUAACUGUCAGAUGGAAUAAACAGGUGUCCUGCCUUGCAGUUAUGGUGAAAUGUAGCAAAAAGGUAGCAUUGCAAAAAUGUUCA